CCUACGGGAGGCAGCAGUGGGGGAUAUUGGUCAAUGGACGAGAGUCUGAACCAGCCAAGUAGCGUGAAGGAUGACUGCCCUAUGGGUUGUAAACUUCUUUUAUAUGGGAAUAAAAUGUUCCACGUGUGGGAUUUUGUAUGUACCAUAUGAAUAAGGAUCGGCUAACUCCGUGCCAGCAGCCGCGGUAAUACGGAGGAUCCGAGCGUUAUCCGGAUUUAUUGGGUUUAAAGGGAGCGUAGGUGGAUUGUUAAGUCAGUUGUGAAAGUUUGCGGCUCAACCGUAAAAUUGCAGUUGAAACUGGCAGUCGUGAGUACAGUAGAGGUGGGCGGAAUUCGUGGUGUAGCGGUGAAAUGCUUAGAUAUCACGAAGAACUCCGAUUGCGAAGGCAGCUCACUGGACUGCAACUGACACUGAGGCUCGAAAGUGUGGGUAUCAAACAGGAUUAGAUACCCCAGUAGUC
rnacentral:rRNA from 1 species